UCCGUGAUAGUUUAAUGGUUAGAAUGGGCGCUUGUCGCGCGCCAGAUCGGGGUUCAAUUCCCCGUCGCGGAG
rnacentral:tRNA from 1 species